GGGCAUUUAGUAUAGCUGGUUAUUGCGCCCGCUUAGCAACAACAGUCGUCUGCGGGAGGUCCGGCGUUCGAGUCGCCGAUUAUCCA